rnacentral:lncRNA from 1 species
GGCGGAUCACCUGAGGUCAGGAGUUCAAGACCAGCCUGGCCAACAUGGUGAAACCCCGUCUCUACAACAAUACAAAAAUUAGCCAGGCGUGAUGGCAGGUGCCUGUAAUCCCAGCUACUGGGGAGGCUGACGCAGGAGAAUUGCUUGAACUCGGGAGGCAGAGGUUGCAGUGAGCCAAGAUCGCACCAUUGCACUCCUGCCUGGGCAACAGAGCGAGUCUCAAAAAAAACAAAACAAAUUGACACAUAGUGUCACUUGGUAAAUGACAGUUAUUGAGAUGAAUACAGUCAGUUCUCUGUAUCUUUGGGGUCCACACCUGUGAAUUCAACCAACUUUUUCUUUUCACUCCCUAAACACUACGGUAUAACAACCAUUUACAUCGUAUUAGCUAUUUUAAGUGCUGUAGACAUGAUUUGCAAUAUAGGGGAGGAUGUGUGAUGGUUGUAUGCAAAUACUACGCUGUUUCAUAUAAUGGACAUCUAGGCGGGGACUGGGGUUUCCUGAAACCAACUGUGCGUUACAUCUUCAGAAGCUUUUUCAGUUCCUUUCAAGCCUGUUGCUUAGGUUGCGCAGUCUACACACCAAGACAAGGGCAUUCCUCUGCGGGAGUAAAGGGUACCAUGUAUCUUUCUCAAGUCUUUGAAAAUGAUUAUUUCCUGUGCUUUUUUUUUUGCAGAGCUGGUGGAGUUGAGAUCUAUAAUGGAGAUCGUAAAAUAAAGGUUUCCAACACCCUGGAAAGCCGGCUGGAUCUCAUAGCCCAGCAGAUGAUGCCAGAAGUCCGGGGAGCCUUGUUUGGUGCAAAUGCCAACAGGAAGUUUUUGGACUAAGCCUU